AUUAGGGUUCGAUUCCGGAGAGGGAGCCUGAGAAACGGCUACCACAUCUAAGGAAGGCAGCAGGCGCGCAAAUUACCCAAUCCUAAUACAGGGAGGUAGUGACAAGAAAUAACAAUACAGGACCUUUAAUGGUUUUGUAAUUGGAAUGAGUUAAGUAUAAACCCCUUUACAAGUAUCAAUUGGAGGGCAAGUCUGGUGCCAGCAGCCGCGGUAAUUCCAACUCCAAUAGCGUAUAUUAAAGUUGUUGCAGUUAAAAAGCUCGUAGUUGGAUUUCUGUUAAUUACUUUAUAUAAUUUUACACUUUCGUGUAGUUAUAUAGUAUUAACAUAAUUCAUAUUACUAUAUUUUUUGUAGUAUAUGAAAUUUUACUUUGAGAAAAUUAGAGUGCUUAAAGCAGGCUUUUGCCUUGAAUACUUCAGCAUGGAAUAAUAAUUAAAGAUUUUUAUCUUUCUUUUAUUGGUUCUAAGAUAAAAAUAAUGAUUAAUA
rnacentral:rRNA from 1 species